AACGAACGCUGGCGGCAUGCCUAACACAUGCAAGUCGAACGAAGCCUUCGGGCUUAGUGGCGCACGGGUGCGUAACGCGUGGGAAUCUGCCCUUGGGUUCGGAAUAACAGUUAGAAAUGACUGCUAAUACCGGAUGAUGUCUUCGGACCAAAGAUUUAUCGCCCAAGGAUGAGCCCGCGUAGGAUUAGGUAGUUGGUGGGGUAAUGGCCCACCAAGCCGACGAUCCUUAGCUGGUCUGAGAGGAUGAGCAGCCACACUGGGACUGAGACACGGCCCAGACGCCUACGGGAGGCAGCAGGGGGGCAUAUUGGACAAUGGGCGAAAGCCUGAUCCAGCAAUGCCGCGUGAGUGAUGAAGGCCUUAGGGUUGUAAAGCUCUUUUACCAGGGAUGAUAAUGACAGUACCUGGAGAAUAAGCUCCGGCUAACUCCGUGCCAGCCGCCGCAGUAA
rnacentral:rRNA from 1 species